rnacentral:tRNA from 1 species
GCCCGGAUGGCGGAAUUGGUAGACGCGCUAGUUUCAGGUACUAGUGGCUGAAAAGCCUUGGAAGUUCAAAUCUUCUUUCGGGCACCA